rnacentral:rRNA from 1 species
GAUGAACGCUGGCGGCGUGCCUAAUACAUGCAAGUCGAGCGAACAGACGAGGAUCUUUCUCCUCUGACGUUAGCGGCGGACGGGUGAGUAACACGUGGAUAACCUACCUAUAAGACUGGGAUAACUUCGGGAAACCGGAGCUAAUACCGGAUAAUAUAUUGAACCGCAUGGUUCAAUAGUGAAAGACGGUUUUGCUGUCACUUAUAGAUGGAUCCGCGCCGCAUUAGCUAGUUGGUAAGGUAACGGCUUACCAAGGCAACGAUGCGUAGCCGACCUGAGAGGGUGAUCGGCCAAACUGGCACUGAGACACGGUCCAGACCCCUACGGGAGGCAGCAGUAGGGAAUCUUCCGCAAUGGGAGAAAGCCUGACGGAGCAAAGCCGCGUGAGUGAUGAAGGUCUUCGGAUCGUAAAACUCUGUUAUUAGGGAAGAACAAAUGUGUAAGUAACUAUGCACGUCUUGACGGUACCUAAACAGAAAGCCACGGCUAACUACGUG